rnacentral:rRNA from 1 species
GAUGAACGCUGGCGGCGUGCCUAAUACAUGCAAGUCGAGCGAACAGAUGAGGAGUUUGCUCCUCUGACGUUAGCGGCGGACGGGUGAGUAACACGUGGAUAACCUACCUAUAAGACUGGGAUAACUUCGGGAAACCGGAGCUAAUACCGGAUAAUAUAUUGAACCGCAUGGUUCAAUAGUGAAAGACGGUUUUGCUGUCACUUAUAGAUGGAUCCGCGCCGCAUUAGCUAGUUGGUAAGGUAACGGCUUACCAAGGCAACGAUGCGUAGCCGACCUGAGAGGGGGAUCGGCCACACUGGAACUGAGACACGGUCCAGACUCCUACGGGAGGCAGCAGUAGGGAAUCUUCCGCAAUGGGCGAAAGCCUGACGGAGCAACGCCGCGUGAGUGAUGAAGGUCUUCGGAUCGUAAAACUCUGUUAUUAGGGAAGAACAAAUGUGUAAGUAACUAUGCACGUCUUGACGGUACCUAAUCAGAAAGCCACGGCUAACUACGUG